CUACGUGCCAGCAGCCGCGGUAAUACGUAGGGCGCGAGCGUUGUCCGGAAUUAUUGGGCGUAAAGAGCUUGUAGGCGGUUUGUCGCGUCUGCUGUGAAAGGCCGGGGCUUAACUCCGUGUAUUGCAGUGGGUACGGGCAGACUAGAGUGCAGUAGGGGAGACUGGAAUUCCUGGUGUAGCGGUGGAAUGCGCAGAUAUCAGGAGGAACACCGAUGGCGAAGGCAGGUCUCUGGGCUGUAACUGACGCUGAGAAGCGAAAGCAUGGGGAGCGAACAGGAUUAGAUACCCUGGUAGUCCAUGCCGUAAACGUUGGGCACUAGGUGUGGGGGACAUUCCACGUUUUCCGCGCCGUAGCUAACGCAUUAAGUGCCCCGCCUGGGGAGUACGGCCGCAAGGCUAAAACUCAAAGAAAUUGACGGGGGCCCGCACAAGCGGCGGAGCAUGUGGUUUAAUUCGAUGCAACGCGAAGAACCUUACCUACUCUUGACAUCCAGA
rnacentral:rRNA from 1 species